GAGCCUUAGUGUUAUACAUUAGUGAAUAUGAAAGCUAAAACUGCAUCAAAACCUAGUCCUACAAGCUGAAAUCAAAGAGACAUAACAAAAUCAAACUACUACCUGAAAAAAAGAGUCAUGGUGGCUGAUUAUACUAGAGUAAAUGUAGAAGACAAACCUUGUUGAAGAGAUGCUAUUAGUCAAUGACUAGUAGAAAAAACCAUAUGACCCCUGUUAGAAAACACUAGUAGAAAAAACACUUUUAUUGUGUUAAUAUUAUUAGGCUUUCUCCAAAACUAGUACAUGAGAAGCAAGGCAGGACAAACUACAGCCUGAAACAAAGAACUGCUACUAAGUAAGAGAAUAUCUAAAAUAUUUUUCUUCUUAUACAUAAAGAUGCAGCAUGAAAGAACAAGUAGACUAGAGCACAGCAAACUAAACAAGUGGAAAACAUCUUUAAUAUUACUAUUACAUGUAUUGGAUAUUGAAACCAGAUGAAAAGACUACUCCAUAUAGCGUUUUACAUCUGACAUAUGCUCGUCAGAUGUAAACUACUUGUGUAAUAUGUCAUAUUUGUACUAGUGUG
rnacentral:lncRNA from 1 species